rnacentral:rRNA from 1 species
UACGUAGGAGGCGAGCGUUGUCCGGAAUUACUGGGCGUAAAGCGUGCGCAGGCGGUCUGUUAAGACCGAUGUGAAAUCCCCGGGCUUAACCCUGGGAACUGCAUUGGUGACUGGCAGGCUUUGAGUGUGGCAGAGGGAGGUAGAAUUCCACGUGUAGCAGUGAAAUGCGUAGAGAUGUGGAGGAAUACCGAUGGCGAAGGCAGCCUCCUGGGCCAACACUGACGCUCAUGCACGAAAGCGUGGGAGCAAACAGG